rnacentral:lncRNA from 1 species
CUCCGAGCCCCCCUAGAGGACAGAGGAGGAGCCGCAGCCCGAGCCGCAGCCGCCAAGUGGGCGGAGCGCAUGCGCAUCACGCCUGUGCCAACUCCCAGAAUGCCCUGGGAGACUACCGUCGUGCCUAGCGCCUGUGAGGGCCUCAAGAGGCCUGGCUUCCCUGGGGCGAGGCCGUGACCCUUUCCUCCUCGGAGCGUCUCUUGGUUGUCUUAAUGAGGCCUUCAGGCUUGACCUUCCAUUCUGCAAAGUCUUCAAAAUACUGAAUGAACCGGCGAUUUAUUGAUUAUACCUUCAUACUAAUGCAGUGUAACAUUUCACAUGCAAUUGGGAUACUUAUUACUUUGAAGAAUAAAGUGGCAGAAUGAAUCCCACUGGACUGUUAAAAGCAAAGAACACUGCAAAAAGCUCCAUCUUAUCACUUCAAACAAGAGAUUCAAACGUGAGCCUUCAUAGUCCGCAUAUCUGCCAUAAUUUUAUCAAAGUUUGUUUUGUGACUCAAAUUGAACUCCACUCAAGCGGCUCAAAUUGAUUUGUCUCAGCAUGUUCAACUGAACAAAAAUAACCAAAGCAGUGUAUUCUUUUAGAUUUUUGUCUAAAGAAAAGGGAAUAACAAGCAAAUCCCACUACCUCGGUCUUGACACAGGGCCUGAAGUCUCUCCAGUGCACUUCCCUUUCAGGGAAGUGGUUCAGGUAGUGGUUCAAGUUUUCAGACCAUUUCAAACUUAUGGCUCAAUAUCAUCUUAAUACAUGAUCCUGUUGUCACUCCGGCAGCUGAAGUAACGACACACAGAACUGACAAGAACUGUUAAGUAUUUUAAAUAAAAGUAGC